GAAAUCCGUAGCGGAGUGGUUAACGCGAUGCCCUGCUAUUCAUGGUAAGGCAUUUCCUUCGGGAGCGUGUGUUCGAAUCACACAGGUGUCG